UACGUAGGGACCAAGCGUUGUUCGGAUUUACUGGGCGUAAAGGGCGCGUAGGCGGCGUGACAAGUCACUUGUGAAAUCUCCGGGCUUAACUCGGAACGGUCAAGUGAUACUGUUGUGCUAGAGUACAGAAGGGGCAAUCGGAAUUCUUGGUGUAGCGGUGAAAUGCGUAGAUAUCAAGAGGAACACCAGAGGCGAAGGCGGAUUGCUGGGCUGAUACUGACGCUGAGGCGCGAAAAGCUAGGGGUAGCAAACGGG
rnacentral:rRNA from 1 species